GCUGACCCUGCUGCCGCCGUGAUCCCUCCGUAGCGAACUUUUGGAAGCCUUUGCAAGCCCCGGAAGGGGUUCUCGCGACAGUAAAUAAGGAGAGCGCAAGUAGCGCUGUUGGGAACAGCAGUGCUGCAGCACAAUCGAAUUGCGGGGACAUCCUAAAGCCGAAGGGUACUAACCUACCGCAGGAAUGCGUUAGGGGCCUGUGGUAACUCACAGGGUACAGUAAUAACCCCCGAGGAUUCAGCUACAUCAGCUGGAAUGGACAAUCCGCAGCGAAGCCUCUCUUAUAGAGGAACGUCCACAGACUAAGUGAUUGUGGGUAGGACGGGGAGUCCUGCUUAAGAUAUAGUCGGGCCUAGGCGAGAAAUCCCUAGGGUAUUCGCUAGAAUACAAGCAGUCGGGUCGCGACCCAAGGUCCCUUGCGUCGGGGACUCGACUGCGUCAACCGCUCCGUAGGUGAACCUGCGGAGGGAUCAUUACAGAGUUCAUGCCCGCGAGGGUAGAUCUCCCACCCGUGUCUUGUAACAUUGUUGCUUUGGGGAGCCCGCUCCCCAGAGACCAAACCCUGAAAUAAAUGUCGUCAGAGCACUAUAAAAUAGUUAAAACUUUCAACAACGGAUCUCUUGGUUCUGGCAUCGAUGAAGAACGCAGCGAAAUGCGAUAAGUAAUGUGAAUUGCAGAAUUCAGUGAAUCAUCGAAUCUUUGAACGCACAUUGCGCCCUAUGGUAUUCCGUAGGGCAUGCCUGUUCGAGCGUCAUUACACCCCUCUCGCCCCGCGAGGUCUUGGCCGAAGCCCCUAGGGCCCGGCUCAAAAGCAGUGGCAGUGUCCCCCGGGCCUCAGCGUAGUACAUCUUCCGCUCGAGUCCCCCGGUGUGCGCCCCACAACCAACCCCAUUUUUCAGUUUGACCUCGGAUCAGGUAGGGAUACCCGCUGAACUUAAGCAUAUCAAUAAGCGGAGGAAAAGAAACC
rnacentral:sRNA from 1 species